ensembl:lncRNA
UUCUUUUUUUUUUCGUCACUUUUGCUGGAUGAAACAUGUUUCUUAACCCUGCUCCAAUUUCCCCAGCUCACUAAUGAGCUGCAGAAUUGUAUAGUGAGCGGGGAAAAAAAAACAGGGCCACCAGGGGCAGGAUUGAGAAACACUGUAUCCCAUCAACAUAAAUCUGGCAGUGCAGAAAUUCUGUAACACAAUUGGCAUGGUUACAGGACCGUAAAGUGUGUAAUAUUUCCCAUUGUUUAACGGCUGUCUGGAGAGGAUAUUGUGCCUUGCCCAAAACAAAAUCUUGUGUCUUGUCGGUAUGGAGCUGGACUAUUGUUACAGAUGUUGCAGGAGCAGCUCUGAAAGUCAUCUGUUUCAAGAAGCACCUCCAGACUGCAUAUGUCACAUUUGGGUCAAGUUACAAUCAUGAUUCCUCUCCAUAAAAUGAUGGUGGUCCGGACUCACUUGAAGCACAACACCCUUACGCCAUUGCUCGGUGUCAUGUUGAACCACCUUUGGAUGACACGCGUCACUUUUGGGUCAAAAGAUAUUCCUCAUGAUAUUGAAGAUAGUUCUAUUCCUCAUGAUAUUGAAGAUAUUUCUAUUCCUCAUGAUAUUGAAGAUAUUUCUAUUCCUCAUGAUAUUGAAAAUAUUCAUCAUGAUACUGAAGAUAUUCCUCAUGAAGUUAUUCCUCAUGAAGUUACUUUCUAAAUAAACAAAAUGAGAUUCUAAAUAAAUGUACAAAUUUUUUUUUUUCA